rnacentral:rRNA from 1 species
AUACGUAGGGGGCAAGCGUUGUCCGGAAUUACUGGGCGUAAAGAGCUCGUAGGCGGCUCAGCAAGUCGGUCGUGAAAGCCCGAGGCUCAACCUCGGAACUGCGGUCGAUACUGCUGUGGCUAGAGUCCGGUAGAGGAGAGUGGAAUUCCCGGUGUAGCGGUGGAAUGCGCAGAUAUCGGGAGGAACACCAGUGGCGAAGGCGGCUCUCUGGGCCGGUACUGACGCUGAGGAGCGAAAGCGUGGGGAGCAAACAGGAUUAGAAACCCGAGUAGUCC